GGUAACCUGCCUGUAAGACUGGGAUAACUCCGGGAAACCGGAGCUAAUACCGGAUAGUUCCUUGAACCGCAUGGUUCAAGGAUGAAAGACGGUUUCGGCUGUCACUUACAGAUGGACCCGCGGCGCAUUAGCUAGUUGGUGGGGUAAUGGCUCACCAAGGCGACGAUGCGUAGCCGACCUGAGAGGGUGAUCGGCCACACUGGGACUGAGACACGGCCCAGACUCCUACGGGAGGCAGCAG
rnacentral:rRNA from 1 species